GACGAACGCUGGCGGCGUGCUUAACGCAUGCAAGUCGAACGAUGAACCCGGAGCUUGCUCCGGUGGAUUAGUGGCGAACGGGUGAGUAACACGUGAGUAACCUGCCCUUGACUCUGGGAUAACUGCGGGAAACUGUAGCUAAUACCGGAUACGACCCUCGGCGGCAUCGCCAGGGGGUGGAAAGAAUUUCGGUCAAGGAUGGACUCGCGGCCUAUCAGCUAGUUGGUGAGGUAACGGCUCACCAAGGCGACGACGGGUAGCCGGCCUGAGAGGGUGACUGGCCACACUGGGACUGAGACACGGCCCAGACUCCUACGGGAGGCAGCAGUGGGGAAUAUUGCACAAUGGGCGCAAGCCUGAUGCAGCGACGCCGCGUGAGGGAUGACGGCCUUCGGGUUGUAAACCUCUUUCAGCACCGACGAAGCGCAAGUGACGGUAGGUGCAGAAGAAGGACCGGCCAACUACGUGCCAGCAGCCGCCGUAA
rnacentral:rRNA from 1 species